AUUGAACGCUGGCGGCAUGCUUUACACAUGCAAGUCGGACGGCAGCACAGAGAAGCUUGCUUCUUGGGUGGCGAGUGGCGAACGGGUGAGUAAUAUAUCGGAACGUACCGAGUAAUGGGGGAUAACUAAUCGAAAGAUUAGCUAAUACCGCAUAUUCUCUGAGGAGGAAAGCAGGGGACCUUCGGGCCUUGCGUUAUUCGAGCGGCCGAUAUCUGAUUAGCUAGUUGGUGGGGUAAAGGCCUACCAAGGCGACGAUCAGUAGCGGGUCUGAGAGGAUGAUCCGCCACACUGGGACUGAGACACGGCCCAGACUCCUACGGGAGGCAGCAGUGGGGAAUUUUGGACAAUGGGCGCAAGCCUGAUCCAGCCAUGCCGCGUGUCUGAAGAAGGCCUUCGGGUUGUAAAGGACUUUUGUCAGGGAAGAAAAGGACAGGGUUAAUACCCCUGUUUGAUG
rnacentral:rRNA from 1 species